UACGUAGGGGCCUAGCGUUGUCCGGAAUUAUUGGGCGUAAAGAGCGUGUAGGCGGCUAGAUAGGUCCGUUGUGAAAACUCGAGGCUCAACCUCGAGACGUCGAUGGAAACCAUCUGGCUAGAGUCCGGAAGAGGAGAGUGGAAUUCCUGGUGUAGCGGUGAAAUGCGCAGAUAUCAGGAAGAACACCCGUGGCGAAGGCGGCUCUCUGGUACGUGACUGACGCUGAGACGCGAAAGCGUGGGGAGCAAACAGG
rnacentral:rRNA from 1 species